rnacentral:rRNA from 1 species
UACGUAGGAGGCGAGCGUUGUCCGGAGUUACUGGGCGUAAAGGGUGCGCAGGCGGUGGCCCGCGUGGGCGGUGAAAGCUCCUGGCUCAACUGGGAGAGGGCCGUCCAGACGGGGUCACUUGAGGGGCGGAGAGGGGCGUGGAAUUCCGGGUGGAGCGGUGAAAUGCGUAGAGAUCCGGAGGAACACCGACGGCGAAGGCAGCACUCUGGGCCGGUACUGACGCUGAGGAGCGAAAGCGUGGGGAGCAAACAGG